rnacentral:rRNA from 1 species
UGGGGAAUAUUGGGCAAUGGGCGCAAGCCUGACCCAGCAACGCCGCGUGAAGGAAGAAGGCUUUCGGGUUGUAAACUUCUUUUCUUGGGGACGAAGAAAGUGACGGUACCCAAGGAAUAAGCCACGGCUAACUACGUGCCAGCAGCCGCGGUAAUACGUAGGUGGCAAGCGUUAUCCGGAUUUAUUGGGUGUAAAGGGCGUGUAGGCGGGAAUGCAAGUCAGAUGUGAAAACUAUGGGCUCAACCCAUAGCCUGCAUUUGAAACUGUAUUUCUUGAGUGCUGGAGAGGCAAUCGGAAUUCCGUGUGUAGCGGUGAAAUGCGUAGAUAUACGGAGGAACACCAGUGGCGAAGGCGGAUUGCUGGACAGUAACUGACGCUGAGGCGCGAAAGCGUGGGGAGCAAACAGGAUUAGAUACCC